GAUGAACGCUGGCGGCGUGCCUAAUACAUGCAAGUCGAGCGAACAGACGAGGAGCUUGCUCCUCUGACGUUAGCGGCGGACGGGUGAGUAACACGUGGAUAACCUACCUAUAAGACUGGGAUAACUUCGGGAAACCGGAGCUAAUACCGGAUAAUAUAUUGAACCGCAUGGUUCAAUAGUGAAAGACGGUUUUGCUGUCACUUAUAGAUGGAUCCGCGCCGCAUUAGCUAGUUGGUAAGGUAACGGCUUACCAAGGCGACGAUGCGUAGCCGACCUGGGAGGGGGAUCGGCCACACUGGAACGGGGACACGGUCCAGACUCCUACGGGAGGCAGCAGAAGGGAAUCUUCCGCAAUGGGCGAAAGCCUGACGGAGCAACGCGGCGUGAGUGAUGAAGGUCUCCGGAUCGUAAAACUCUGUUAUGAGGGAAGAACAAAUGUGUAAGUAACUAUGCACGUCGUGACGGUACCUAAUCAGAAAGCAACGGCUAACUACGUG
rnacentral:rRNA from 1 species